UACAGAGGUCUCAAGCGUUGUUCGGAUUCAUUGGGCGUAAAGGGUGUGUAGGUGGCGCCGUAAGUCGGGUGUGAAAUCUUGGAGCUUAACUCCGAAACUGCAUUCGAUACUGCCGUGCUCGAGGACUGGAGAGGAGACUGGAAUUUACGGUGUAGCGGUGAAAUGCGUAGAUAUCGUAAGGAAGACCAGUGGCGAAGGCGGGUCUCUGGACCAGCACUGACACUGAAGCACGAAAGCGUGGGGAGCAAACAGG
rnacentral:rRNA from 1 species